GACAGAGGGUGCAAACGUUGUUCGGAAUUACUGGGCGUAAAGCGCGUGUAGGCGGUUGCGUAAGUCGGAUGUGAAAGCCCUCGGCUCAACCGGGGAAGUGCACUCGAAACUGCGCAACUCGAGUCCUGGAGAGGAUAGUGGAAUUCUCGGUGUAGAGGUGAAAUUCGUAGAUAUCGAGAGGAACACCGGUGGCGAAGGCGGCUAUCUGGACAGUGACUGACGCUGAGACGCGAAAGCGUGGGGAGCAAACAGG
rnacentral:rRNA from 1 species